rnacentral:rRNA from 1 species
GAUGAACGCUGGCGGCGUGCCUAAUACAUGCAAGUCGAGCGAACGGACGAGAAGCUUGCUUCUCUGAUGUUAGCGGUGGACGGGUGAGUAACACGUGGAUAACCUACCUAUAAGACUGGGAUAACUUCGGGAAACCGGAGCUAAUACCGGAUGAUAUUUUGAACCGCAUGGUUCAAUAGUGAAAGACGGUCUUGCUGUCACUUAUAGAUGGAUCCGCGCUGCAUUAGCUAGUUGGUAAGGUAACGGCUUACCAAGGCAACGAUGCAUAGCCGACCUGAGAGGGUGAUCGGCCACACUGGAACUGAGACACGGUCCAGACUCCUACGGGAGGCAGCAGUAGGGAAUCUUCCGCAAUGGGCGAAAGCCUGACGGAGCAACGCCGCGUGAGUGAUGAAGGUCUUCGGAUCGUAAAACUCUGUUAUUAGGGAAGAACAUAUGUGUAAGUAACUGUGCACAUCUUGACGGUACCUAAUCAGAAAGCCACGGCUAACUACGUG